GCCUUUGUGGUGUAACGGUAGCACACUCGGCUUGUAUUCGAGAGGUCCAGGUUCAAGUCCUGGCCAGGGGA
rnacentral:tRNA from 1 species